UACAGAGGUCCCAAGCGUUGUUCGGAUUCACUGGGCGUAAAGGGUGCGUAGGUGGUUGGGUAAGUCUGAUGUGAAAUCUCCGAGCUUAACUCGGAAAUGGCAUUAGAUACUAUUCGGCUAGAGGGUUUGAGGGGGGACUGGAAUACUUGGUGUAGCAGUGAAAUGCGUAGAUAUCAAGUGGAACACCAGUGGCGAAGGCGAGUCCCUGGACAACUCCUGACACUGAGGCACGAAAGCUAGGGGAGCAAACAGG
rnacentral:rRNA from 1 species